CCUACGGGAGGCUGCAGUGGGGAAUAUUGGGCAAUGGAGGCAACUCUGACCCAGCAAUGCCGCGUGAGUGAUGAAGGUAAUUUGAUUGUAAAGCUCUUUUCUUUGGAACGAAUAAAUGACGGUACCAAAGGUAUAAGCCCCGGCUAACUACGUGCCCGCAGCCGCGGUAAUACGUAGGGGGCAAGCGUUGUUCGGAAUGACGGGGCGUAAAGGGUGUGUAGGGGGUUGGAAAAGUUAGGUGUGGAAUACCCAGGGCUUAACUCGGGUGCUGCAUCUAAAACUGUUAGACUGGAGUACUGGAGAGGAUAGUGGAAUUCGUGGUGUAGGGGUAGAAUGCGUAGAGAUUAGGAGGAACAUCAGUGGCGAAGGCGACUAUCUGGACAGCAACUGACACUGAGGCACGAAAGCGUGGGGAGCAAACAGGAUUAGAUACCCCGGUAGUC
rnacentral:rRNA from 1 species